rnacentral:rRNA from 1 species
CUACGGGUGGCUCCAGUGGGGAAUAUUGCACAAUGGAGGAAACUCUGAUGCAGCAACGCCGCGUGGAGGAUGACGCUCUUCGGAGCGUAAACUCCUUUUAUAUAGGAAGAAGAUGACGGUACUAUAUGAAUAAGCGCCGGCUAACUCCGUGCCAGCAGCCGCGGUAAUACGGAGGGCGCAAGCGUUACUCGGAAUCACUGGGCGUAAAGAGCGUGUAGGCGGAUUAAAAAGUCAGAAGUGAAAUCCUAUAGCUUAACUAUAGAACUGCUUCUGAAACUCUUAAUCUAGAAUAUGGGAGAGGUAGAUGGAAUUUCUGGUGUAGGGGUAAAAUCCGUAGAGAUCAGAAGGAAUACCGAUUGCGAAGGCGAUCCACUAGAACAUUAUUGACGCUGAGACGCGAAAGCGUGGGGAGCAAACAGGAUUAGAUACCCUAGUAGUC